UUAUGGCCAUAUCAUGUUGAAACACCAGUUCUUGUAUGAUUAUCAAUGUUAAGCAACAUUGAGCCUGGUCAGUACCUAGAUGGGUGACCGCUUGGGAAUACCAGGUGCGGUAAG